rnacentral:rRNA from 1 species
UGGGGAAUAUUGGACAAUGGGGGAAACCCUGAUCCAGCGAUGCCGCGUGAGUGAAGAAGGCCUUCGGGUCGUAAAGCUCUUUAGGUUGGGAAGAAGGUUGUUAGGGUAAUAUCCUAGCAAUUUGACGGUACCGACAGAAUAAGCACCGGCAAACUCUGUGCCAGCAGCCGCGGUAAUACAGAGGGUGCGAGCGUUAAUCGGAUUUACUGGGCGUAAAGGGUGCGUAGGCGGUUCUAUGAGUGUGAUGUGAAAGCCCUGGGCUCAACCUAGGAAGUGCAUCGCAAACGAUAGAACUGGAGUAUGUGAGAGGGUGGCGGAAUUUCCGGUGUAGCGGUGAAAUGCGUAGAUAUCGGAAGGAACGUCGAUGGCGAAGGCAGCCACCUGGCACAAUACUGACGCU